UACGGGGGGAGCAAGCGUUGUUCGGAUUUACUGGGCGUAAAGGGCGCGUAGGCGGUCAGCACAAGUCAGUUGUGAAAUCUCCGAGCUUAACUCGGAACGGUCAACUGAUACUGUGCGACUAGAGUGCGGAAGGGGCAACUGGAAUUCUCGGUGUAGCGGUGAAAUGCGUAGAUAUCGAGAGGAACACCUGCGGCGAAGGCAGGUCUCUGGGCAUUAACUGACGCUGAGGAGCGAAAGCAUGGGGAGCGAACAGG
rnacentral:rRNA from 1 species